rnacentral:tRNA from 1 species
AGUCUCAUAGUUCAACGGAUAGAACGGAGGUUUCCUAAACCUUAAAUCCGAGUUCGAUUCUCGGUGGGACUA